GUAGGGAAUCUUCGGCAAUGGACGAAAGUCUGACCGAGCAACGCCGCGUGAGUGAAGAAGGUUUUCGGAUCGUAAAACUCUGUUGGUAGAGAAGAACGUUGGUGAGAGUGGAAAGCUCAUCAAGUGACGGUAACUACCCAGAAAGGGACGGCUAACUACGUGCCAGCAGCCGCGGUAAUACGAAGGUGGCAAGCGUUGUCCGGAUUUACUGGGCGUAAAGCGAGCGCAGGUGGUUUAUUAAGUCUGGUGUAGAAGGCAGUGGCUCAACCAUUGUAUGCAUUGGAAACUGGUAGACUUGAGUGCAGGAGAGGAGAGUGGAAUUCCAUGUGUAGCGGUGAAAUGCGUAGAUAUAUGGAGGAACACCGGUGGCGAAAGCGGCUCUCUGGCCUGUAACUGACACUGAGGCUCGAAAGCGUGGGGAGCAAACAGGAUUAGAAACCCGGGUAGUCC
rnacentral:rRNA from 1 species